GAGCACCUUGAUAGCUCAGUUGGUAGAGCGGUGGACUGUAAGAUGCUCCUUGUGUGAAACGCCGUGAUCCUAAGGUCGCUGGUUCAACUCCAGCUCUCAAGCACCUCCUUGUCAUUGGAAAUACCCCCAAGCCUUGUCUUUAUCUGUCAACUCCUCCAAAAUGUCAAAACACAAAGAAGAUAACUCUUUCUUAAAUUUUCAACCAUCAAUUUUUUAUUCACCCAGCCUAAAAGUCCUGAUUAUCAGUUCUGGGUCCCUGGCAAUGACUGUUGGGUACAAACUGCAAAGCUUUGUUCUGCGGGUAGGGCUGGGCUUUUCAUUGACCAUGGGUUGGAAUAGUUCUGUGGGCAUAGUGUGUCUUCGAAGCCACUAUGUUUUCUGCACUUGUGACUAGAGAGCACCUUGAUAGCUCAGUUGGUAGAGCGGUGGACUGUAAGAUGCUCCUUGUGUGAAACGCUGUGAUCCUAAGGUCGCUGGUUCAACUCCAGCUCCAAGCACCUCCUUGUCAUUGGAAAUACCCCCAAGCCUUGUCUUUAUCUGUCAACUCCUCCAAAAUGUCAAAACACAAAGAAGAUAACUCUUUCUUAAAUUUUCAACCAUCAAUUUUUUAUUCACCCAGCCUAAAAGUCCUGAUUAUCAGUUCUGGGUCCCUGGCAAUGACUGUUGGGUACAAACUGCAAAGCUUUGUUCUGCAGGUAGGGCUGGGCUUUUCAUUGACCAUGGGUUGGAAUAGUUCUGUGGGCAUAGUGUGUCUUCGAAGCCACUAUGUUUUCUGCACUUGUGACUAGAGAGCACCUUGAUAGCUCAGUUGGUAGAGCGGUGGACUGUAAGAUGCUCCUUGUGUGAAACGCCGUGAUCCUAAGCUCGCUGGUUCAACUCCAGCUCCAAGCACCUCCUUGUCAUUGGAAAUACCCCCAAGCCUUGUCUUUAUCUGUCAACUCCUCCAAAAUGUCAAAACACAAAGAAGAUAACUCUUUCUUAAAUUUUCAACCAUCAAUUUUUUAUUCACUCAGCCUAAAAGUCCUGAUUAUCAGUUCUGGGUCCCUGGCAAUGACUGUUGGGUACAAACUGCAAAGCUUUGUUCUGCAGGUAGGGCUGGGCUUUUCAUUGACCAUGGGUUGGAAUAGUUCUGUGGGCAUAGUGUGUCUUCGAAGCCACUAUGUUUUCUGCACUUGUGACUAGAGAGCACCUUGAUAGCUCAGUUGGUAGAGCGGUGGACUGUAAGAUGCUCCUUGUGUGAAACGCCGUGAUCCUAAGCUCGCUGGUUCAACUCCAGCUCCAAGCACCUCCUUGUCAUUGGAAAUACCCCCAAGCCUUGUCUUUAUCUGUCAACUCCUCCAAAAUGUCAAAACACAAAGAAGAUAACUCUUUCUUAAAUUUUCAACCAUCAAUUUUUUAUUCACCCAGCCUAAAAGUCCUGAAUAUCAGUUCUGGGUCCCUGGCAAUGACUGUUGGGUACAAACUGCAAAGCUUUGUUCUGCAGGUAGGGCUGGGCUUUUCAUUGACCAUGGGUUGGAAUAGUUCUGUGGGCAUAGUGUGUCUUCGAAGCCACUAUGUUUUCUGCACUUGUGACUAGAGAGCACCUUGAUAGCUCAGUUGGUAGAGCGGUGGACUGUAAGAUGCUCCUUGUGUGAAACGCCGUGAUCCUAAGGUCGCUGGUUCAACUCCAGCUCCAAGCACCUCCUUGUCAUUGGAAAUACCCCCAAGCCUUGUCUUUAUCUGUCAACUCCUCCAAAAUGUCAAAACACAAACAAGAUAACUCUUUCUUAAAUUUUCAACCAUCAAUUUUUUAUUCACUCAGCCUAAAAGUCCUGAUUAUCAGUUCUGGGUCCCUGGCAAUGACUGUUGGGUACAAACUGCAAAGCUUUGUUCUGCAGGUAGGGCUGGGCUUUUCAUUGACCAUGGGUUGGAAUAGUUCUGUGGGCAUAGUGUGUCUUCGAAGCCACUAUGUUUUCUGCACUUGUGACUAGAGAGCACCUUGAUAGCUCAGUUGGUAGAGCGGUGGACUGUAAGAUGCUCCUUGUGUGAAACGCUGUGAUCCUAAGGUCGCUGGUUCAACUCCAGCUCCAAGCACCUCCUUGUCAUUGGAAAUACCCCCAAGCCUUGUCUUUAUCUGUCAACUCCUCCAAAAUGUCAAAACACAAAGAAGAUAACUCUUUCUUAAAUUUUCAACCAUCAAUUUUUUAUUCACCCAGCCUAAAAGUCCUGAUUAUCAGUUCUGGGUCCCUGGCAAUGACUGUUGGGUACAAACUGCAAAGCUUUGUUCUGCAGGUAGGGCUGGGCUUUUCAUUGACCAUGGGUUGGAAUAGUUCUGUGGGCAUAGUGUGUCUUCGAAGCCACUAUGUUUUCUGCACUUGUGACUAGAGAGCACCUUGAUAGCUCAGUUGGAAGAGCGGUGGACUGUAAGAUGCUCCUUGUGUGAAACGCUGUGAUCCUAAGGUCGCUGGUUCAACUCCAGCUCCAAGCACCUCCUUGUCAUUGGAAAUACCCCCAAGCCUUGUCUUUAUCUGUCAACUCCUCCAAAAUGUCAAAACACAAACAAGAUAACUCUUUCUUAAAUUUUCAACCAUCAAUUUUUUAUUCACUCAGCCUAAAAGUCCUGAUUAUCAGUUCUGGGUCCCUGGCAAUGACUGUUGGGUACAAACUGCAAAGCUUUGUUCUGCAGGUAGGGCUGGGCUUUUCAUUGACCAUGGGUUGGAAUAGUUCUGUGGGCAUAGUGUGUCUUCGAAGCCACUCUGUUUUCUGCACUUGUGACUAGAGAGCACCUUGAUAGCUCAGUUGGUAGAGCGGUGGACUGUAAGAUGCUCCUUGUGUGAAACGCUGUGAUCCUAAGGUCGCUGGUUCAACUCCAGCUCCAAGCACCUCCUUGUCAUUGGAAAUACCCCCAAGCCUUGUCUUUAUCUGUCAACUCCUCCAAAAUGUCAAAACACAAAGAAGAUAACUCUUUCUUAAAUUUUCAACCAUCAAUUUUUUAUUCGCCCAGCCUAAAAGUCCUGAUUAUCAGUUCUGGGUCCCUGGCAAUGACUGUUGGGUACAAACUGCAAAGCUUUGUUCUGCAGGUAGGGCUGGGCUUUUCAUUGACCAUGGGUUGGAAUAGUUCUGUGGGCAUAGUGUGUCUUCGAAGCCACUAUGUUUUCUGCACUUGUGACUAGAGAGCACCUUGAUAGCUCAGUUGGUAGAGCGGUGGACUGUAAGAUGCUCCUUGUGUGAAACGCCGUGAUCCUAAGGUCGCUGGUUCAACUCCAGCUCCAAGCACCUCCUUGUCAUUGGAAAUACCCCCAAGCCUUGUCUUUAUCUGUCAACUCCUCCAAAAUGUCAAAACACAAACAAGAUAACUCUUUCUUAAAUUUUCAACCAUCAAUUUUUUAUUCACUCAGCCUAAAAGUCCUGAUUAUCAGUUCUGGGUCCC